GCUUCAGUAGCUCAGUUGGUUAGAGCACCUGACUGUUAAUCAGGGGGUCGUUGGUUCAAGCCCAUCCUGAAGCGCCU
rnacentral:tRNA from 6 species